UUUUUUUUUUUUUUUUUCAUACAGAAACACCUUUAUCAAUAGCAAAGGUCAGAUCUCAGGCAUUGUGGGACCAUUUAUCUGAGCCACUGCUCAGUGAAUGUAGAGGUGAUGUGCAGACAGCUACCCAAAUGCAGGAGAAGGGACACUGUUGUCCUGUAUCCUUGGCUUGUUUUCUCUUUGGCUGAUGUUUUUCCAAUUAAAACAUCCUUCUACAUUUUUUUGGAGCAAGCUUAAUUUAGACCUUAGCACAUCUCUAUGAUACCUGAAAAUAAAGCAAUGAUCUUUUCGGUGUCUGUGGCAUUCUAUUCUCACAUCUGUGAAUACAGCAUGAAGGCCAAGUAGAUCUAGAUAUUCCGGGUAAGUGGAUGAACUUACCAAGUGGGUAAGUAGAAGAAGUACAUAUUAUACCCUCUUUGAACACCUUUUCUUCCUGGACUUGUGUGGAGUGAGCUUUGUGGCUUUGUUGAUAGAAGGUCUGUCCCAGGAUCUAUGUGCUGGUUAAGAUGUUGGUCUCUAUCCAGACCCUUCCUUCCAUUUGCUAAAUGAACCUGCAAAAUAUCGUGCCUUGUACAAUCAUACUUGUAGCAUUCCUGCCUUUAAUAAUAGCAGACCCAUCUGCCUGUACCUGGAAAAGUCAACAAAAUGUCUUUUAACUGGGCGCGAUGCAUUUUUUCUCUGUCUGUGUGUUUGGGUAAUCAUGAUGUAAGUUUGCAGAAAAUCCCUAGAUGGAAAGAAUAAUAAUGCAGAACAAAGCAUGUUCUGCUACAUUCUGAGUGAUUGGAGUAUGUUAAUGAAAGUUGCGGUUCCCAGCUGGUGCAGUAUCUGCUGGAGGUCACUGCUGCUGUUUUGUUUGAGCUGCUCUACUCAGGAGCACCACAGGAGAAGAGGACCACACUUCAUCUUCUGAGUCUGAACUUCCACUGUGCUCUGUGUGGAAGGAUUUGGGAUAGGAAACAUGAUGUGUCUGAAUGCUUCCUCAGGGGGAUGAGCGUGUCAUUUGUUGGGAUAGAGGAAUGUGGUUCAGGUACAAACAUGAAGGAGGAAGAAGUGUUUGACAUUAUAUAUUUUUUUUUACACUGGCUGAACUGAACUUCAGUAAGGCCUUUGACACAGUACCCUGCAAUAUCCUUCUGUCCAAAUUGGAAAGGUGUGGAUUUGAUGGGUGCACCUUUUGAUGGAUGAGGAACUGGUUGCAAGAUGGAACCAGAUAGUACCAUUCCAUGGCUCCUUGUCUGGAUGGAGAUCAGUGAUGAGUGGUGUCCCUCAGGGGUCAUUGCUGGGACCAGUGUUGUUUAGUGUCUUCACUAAUUAAACUGACAAUCAAACUAUGUACAUCCUCAGUAGAUUGCAAAUGACCACCAAGGGGAGAUUGAUACACCAGAAGGAUGGGAUACCACCCAGAGAAACUCAGACAGUCUGAGUGGGCCCAUGAGAACCUCAUGAGGUUCAACAGUUCCAAGUGUAAAGACAAUUGGGUUGUAGUAACUGCCACUAACAGUACAAGCUGGAUGAUGACAGGAUGGAGCACAGCCCUGCUGAAAAGGACUGGUAUUACUGAUGGAUAGCAGCUGGACAUGAGCCAGCACAAUGCCCUAGCAGCACAGAAAGCCAUCUGUACCCGGGACUGCAUCAAAAGCAGCGCAGCCAGCAGGGCAAUGGAAGAGAUCUGCCCCUCUACUCUGUGCUGUGAGACCUCAUCUGGAGUGCUGCAUCUAGCUAGGGAGUGCUCAGCACAGGAGAGGCACAGACCUGUUGGAGUGUGUCCAGAGGAUGGCCAUAAAAAUGAUCCCAAGAAUGCAACACCUCCCUACAAGGAUAGGUUGAGAGCUGGGUCUGUGCAGCAUGGAGAAGAGGAGGCUCUGGGAGACCCGACAGUUGCUUUUCCUUAUGUAAAGGGGAGAUAAAAGAAAGAAGGGGACAGAUGCUUCAGCAGGAUCUGUUGUGAUAGGACCAGGGGAAAUUAUUUCAAACUAGACAAGUGGAGAUUUAGAUUGGAUGUAAGGAAGAAGUUAUUUGCAGUAAUGUUGGUGAGGCACUGGCUCAGGGUGCCCUGAGAGGUGUUGGAUGCCCCGUCCCUGGAGACAUUCAAGGUCAGACUGGACGGAGCUCUGAGCACUCUGAUCUUGCUGUAGGUGUCCCUGUUCACUGCAGGGGGGUUGAACUGGAUGAUCUUUGUGGGUCCCUUCCAGCUUCUGUGGUUCUUGUAUGAUUGUAAUUGCAGAAACAAAAAAAGAAGCAAGCAGUGGGAGAAGCAUUUACUAUGAGUGAAAGAAGGGGACCUGUUUCCCACUUUUCUCCUCUCACUAAUUCUUUUUAAGACAUAGAGCAAUCACUUGUGAACCUCUUCUUCACUGUAUUUAGGCUAAAAGUGAUGUUUAUUUUCCUGUAGAAGUGUAAAGAAGGCCAUGUGAAUAGAGUAUUAUUAGAAGGAAUUCUAUUAGAUCAGAAGGUUUCUAAGAGUGGAACACCAAUCACUGUUGCUGAGACAGCUAACAAACAAAUACAUUCAUUACCUUUCAUGGCACACCUGUUUCACAUGAAUAACAAAUGUGAAAGAUCAGUUGGCUCCUCAUGGUAAAUAAAAAGAAAUGCCCUAAACUAGAACAGUGAAAAGUGCUGCAGGUAAGUGCUCAGACAAAAAUUAUAUGUAUAUAUUUUAAAAUUUCUGAAGCAUGGGGAAUAGAGAAUGGCAACAACGAAGUGAGUGCUGGAGUUCUGAGGGAACUAUCUGAUUUAGUUGCCAGUCUCAAUAAUAUUUGAAAAGUCAUGGCAAUCAGGUGAAGUCCUUGAUGACUGGGAAAAAAGGCAACAUCACACCCCUUUUUAAACAGGGUAAGAAGAAUGACCCUGAGAACUUCUGACCUGUCGGUCUCACCUCUGUGCCAGAGAAGAUCAUGGAACAGAUCCUUCUGGAAGCUAUGCUAAGGCACAUGGAAGACAGGGAGGUGAUACAGGAGAAUCAGCAUGGCUUCACCAAGGGCAAAUCCGGCUUAACCAACCUAGUGAUCUUCUGUGAUGGUGUCACUGCAUGAAUGGACAAGGGAAGAGCCACUGAUGUCAUCUAUCUUAACUUCAGAAAGGCCUUUGACAUGGUACCCCACAACGUCCUUCUGUCCAAAUUGGAAAGAUAUGGAUUUGAUGGGUGGACUGUUCAGUGGAUGAGGAACUGGCUGCAAGAUAGAGUCCAGACAGUGGUCAAUGGCUCUAUGUCUGGAUGGAGAUUGGUGACAAAUAGUGUCCCCCAGGAGUCAGUGCUGGGACUGAUACUCCUUAAUAUCUUAAUAUCAGUGACAUGGACAGUGGGGUCGGGUGCACCCUCAGUAGGUUUGCUGAUGACAUAAAGCUGUGGCAUGCGGUGAUCACAUCAAAGGAAUGGGAUGCCAUCCAGAGGGACCUAGACAGGCUUGAACAGUGGGCCCAGGUGAAUCCCAUGAAUUUCAACAAAUUUAAAGAGAAGAUCUUGCACCUGGGUUGACACAACUCCCAUUACCAAUACAAGCUGGGGGAUGAAAGGACUGAGCACAGCCCUGCCAAAAAAAAGACCUGGAGGAUGGCAAGCUGGACAUGAGCCAGCAUUGUGCCUUUACAGCCCAGAAAGCCACCUGUAACUUGGUCUGCAUCAAAAACAGCAUGGCCAGCAGGGAGAGGGAGGUGAUCCUGGCCCUCUAUUCUGCGCUGGUGAGGCCUCACGUGGAGUACUGCAUCCAGCUGUGGAGUCCUCACUAUAGGAUAGACAUGGACCUGUCGGAAUGUGUCCAGAGGAGUACUACAAAAAUGAUUACAGGGGUGCACCAUCUUCUACAGUGAGGGUGGUGAGGCACUGGAACAGGAUGCCCAGUGUUGUGGAUGCCUCGUUCCUAGAGACUUUCAAGGAGAAGCUGGAUCAGGCCCUGGGCAACUUCAUCUAGCUGUGGGUCUUCCUGUUCAACUCAGGGGAGUUGGAAUACAUGGCGUUCAGAGGUUCCUUCCAACCCUAAGAAUUCUAUGAUUCACUGAUUCUAUGAAUCCAGCACAAUACACAGAGAAGUGCAGAGGCAAUUCCAGCAGAGAGCCACAUGAUGCUGCUCUGAACAAUGCAUGUGUAAGAAGGACAUGUGAGCAGAACGCAUCUGAGACUACUGAAUAAAAUGGAAAGGAUCCCUAACAUAAAGAAAUGGACAUAUUCACAUUGCAAUAACUGCAGAACAUAUCAAGGGACCGUAGUUCACCGUAAAAACACGUCUGAAAGAUAGUUUGCGCCUCAGUGAAAAGCGGUGCGAGUACGGAAUCGGC
rnacentral:lncRNA from 1 species